rnacentral:lncRNA from 1 species
UUCCUUGGCGCUGUGCCCUCCUUCCAGGCGACAGCGGUGCUGCUGGACGGGGUUCGAGCCUUGGGCUGCCGGUCAGACUUUCAGGUACUCCUCUCUACCUCUCUACUUAUAAACCAACUGCAGGAAAGUGCAUGUCAGGUUGUCAGCCAUAAGCAGGGGACUCUCACUGUUAUUUGGUUAAAACAUCUAUCCUCAGUUACAGAUGCUUCUCCUGCCAGUUCGCUGAUAAAAGUUUUUAGCCAUGCAUCGGAAUCACCUCAGGACUCCACUCCCAAUCAAUUAUAUAUCUGGGGGAGGACCAAGGCGUUGGUAUUUUUCAGAAGCUCCACUGGUGAUUCUGACAGCACAGCUAGGAUUAAGAAACUGAUCAAUGGGAACGGCAUGCCUGUUGCAGAGGAGCUUCCCUGGGAAAUGUCACACACAGAACAUCAAUCUUCCUUCCCCACUCCUGAGAUCCCUCAUUCUUUGGCACCAGGAACAGUUGCAAUUAGUAAACCCUGGUUCCCUGCUGUCUCACAAAUCGCAAGAGUCCAACGUGUGGAUAUAAACUUUUGUUCAUGGGAGGAUCUUUCUCCCAGUGGAAAAGCAACUGGGAAAAGCAGGACACACUGCACAGUGACUGCAGUUUCAUCCAAUGCCACCACCCAUGCAGGCAUAAAUAAUGAACAUGGAUGGGGGAGUCUGGAGCUGCUGAAUUGUAAGGCUCAUAA